UACGGAGGGUGCGAGCGUUGUCCGGAAUCACUGGGCGUAAAGGGCGCGUAGGCGGCAUGCCAAGCGUGUGGUGAAAGCCCGGGGCUCAACCCCGGGUCGGCCGUGCGGACUGGCGUGCUCGAGCACUGUAGGGGCGGGUGGAAUUCCGGGUGUAGCGGUGGAAUGCGUAGAGAUCGGGAAGAACAUCAGUGGCGAAGGCGGUCUGCUGGACCGUUGCUGACGCUGAGGCGCGACAGCGUGGGGAGCAAACAGG
rnacentral:rRNA from 1 species